rnacentral:rRNA from 1 species
UACGGAGGAUGCAAGCGUUAUCCGGAAUGAUUGGGCGUAAAGCGUCCGCAGGUGGCACUUCAAGUCUGCUGUUAAAGACUGGGGCUCAACCCUGGAAAGGCGGUGGAAACUGAGGAGCUAGAGUGUGGUAGGGGUAGAGGGAAUUCCCAGUGUAGCGGUGAAAUGCGUAGAGAUUGGGAAGAACACCGGUGGCGAAGGCGGCUCACUGGACUGGUACUGACGCUGAUGCGCGAAAGCGUGGGGAGCAAACAGG